GACAGAGGGUGCAAGCGUUGUUCGGAAUUACUGGGCGUAAAGGGCGUGUAGGCGGCAAAGUGUGUCUGAUGUGAAAGCCCUCGGCUUAACCGGGGAAGUGCAUCGGAAACUGCUUUGCUUGAGUAUGAGAGAGGGUGGCGGAAUUCCUAGAGUAGAGGUGAAAUUCGUAGAUACUAGGAGGAACACCAGAGGCGAAGGCGGCCACCUGGUUCAUUACUGACGCUGAGACGCGAAAGCGUGGGUAGCAAACAGG
rnacentral:rRNA from 1 species